AAUUUAACCAGAUAGAGAAAUGUCGUCACCCUAUUGAAUUUAGAAAUGACCCACCUUCAUCUCACUCAGAGGUGAACUAAAGCAACAUCAGGAGCAGGAAGAACUCAUCCCUGUAGGAUUUAACAACCCAGAUAGCUCACAACACCCAUGCUCUGCAGCUACACAUGAGGGAUCUUACACGGGCAGCCGACCAGGGCUGGCCCUCUACUAAACAAGGAUGAUGAGACUUGGACUCCAGCAAACUCGGAUGGAAAGUAGUGGUCUCAGAAAAAGUAUCUUCUUGACCUCAGCAGUUUGGAUCAGGUCCAGUUUUCAGGUAUGAGCAGCUGAAGGCAGCUCCAAAGCCUCCUGAAAUCGUGACUACAGCGGGAUAUAGCAGUACGGCCCAAAAGGAGUGGCUCUCUUGAGCAAAUCAGUUGGUGCUGAGUAUCCAACUUGGCCCCGCGGAACUGGAUCACUCCACUAGGUGAAGCAAAGCAUUGCAAUGGGGAUGCUCAGAUUACGGCUUCAAAAUCACAAUUCUGCUGUGAGCUGAAACGCUGAUGUAUGCACAUCCUGCAAGGUUUGCAUUUAUGGCCUUAAAGACCACUGAAGAAGCGAAAAAGUCCAUUUUAUCCAGCUAAGUGUGCUGCACCCUACAUGUACUGUUCUAUUUAGUAAGGUACAAAGACAUAUGCAGUUACAAAUGCAACAUUUUCGCUGAUUACAUUCAUUCAUACUGUACAACGGAGUUUGUUUAGAAUGAGCAAAACUCAAGAACAGUCAGGAUUCAGGCAGUGGCAGCUUUAAAUCUACUCAUUCAACCAAAUGAAGUGUUUUCCCUUAAAGACUUUUGUGUGACACCAUCACUCAGAAAAGAGACCUUCUGACCACUCCUCCAAAAGGUUAUCAGGAUCUUGAAAUUGCCCUUAGCUUUACGGAAGGGAAUACCUUCGCGCAGAAAGAAACAGAGCCAGAUGCAGUGCCCUGGCAUUAAGAUAAAAUCAGUUGGUACCGUAACUGUCUCAGACAGUUUGUGCUUCUGAGAGAAUAUUUUAUUGAAUCGCAUUCCAUCCCACUGUACAAACACUGCAGCAGUUACAAAAAAAAAGGUUAAAGUGGUGAAUUAGUAUAUGCCCAGUAGUUCUUGAACAGUGAGGAGGAUGUCUUAUUAUACACUUCGCUGAACUUCUGU
rnacentral:lncRNA from 1 species